AAACUUGUUUGACAAGCAAAGAGGAGGAGGGAAAAGACAGGGGAAAAAAAGCUCCACACUUGUGGGAAUAGGUGAAAGCAACAGAGACUGGAGACAAAGAUGAGAAGCGAUCCUUAAUGUGCGAGCAUCUGCCCACCCCGCAGAGGGGAGAAUCAAAAAGCUGUCAGCAUGGAGCAUGGUGCUGAGCAGGAGGUGGUGAGCAGCCCAGGAGAUGGGAAUGCUCCAGGAUGAAUUGGCUCCAGGAAACAGCACCACAAAGUUAGCAGCGUGAAGUGGAUGAUGAUGUGGUGUCAUUCUCAGAAAGUCUUCUGCUGUUGGUAUCUCGUGAUGCAUCUUGACAGUGUGAUGGCAUCCCACAGCUCUCUGUGCAUCUUCAGUAAUGGCCCCAAGCUGACACCGCUCUGUGGGAGUCUAAUACUUCUGAACAAAAGUUUUUUUGGAGUGAGAUAGACAAGGUAGAAAUCCCAAGGUGACUGGAAGGAAUGUCUAAUGACUGGAAAGACAUAUUUACUGGCAGACUGUAUGUAAGCUGUGACAGUUGACAGGGCUUGAUUGUAAUAAAUAUAGUUGAUGAAGAGAAGGGUGACA
rnacentral:lncRNA from 1 species